AUUGAACGCUGGCGGCAUGCUUUACACAUGCAAGUCGAACGGUAACAGGCCUUCGGGUGCUGCCGAGUGGCGAACGGGUGAGUAAUGCAUCGGAACGUACCCAGAGGUGGGGGAUAACGCAGCGAAAGCUGUGCUAAUACCGCAUGUGAUCUGAGGAUGAAAGCGGGGGACCGAGCAGCAAUGUUUGGCCUCGCGCCUUUGGAGCGGCCGAUGUCGGAUUAGCUAGUUGGUGGGGUACAGGCCUACCAAGGCGACGAUCCGUAGCUGGUCUGAGAGGACGACCAGCCACACUGGGACUGAGACACGGCCCAGACUCCUACGGGAGGCAGCAGUGGGGAAUUUUGGACAAUGGGCGCGAGCCUGAUCCAGCAAUGCCGCGUGCGGGAAGAAGGCCUUCGGGUUGUAAACCGCUUUUGGCAGGAACGAAACGGUGUCCGCUAAUACCGGGCGCUAAUGACGGUACCUGCAGAAUAAGCACCGGCUAACUACGUG
rnacentral:rRNA from 1 species